UGGGAUAUAGCUCAGUGGUAGAGUACUUGUUCCUUAUGCAGGAGACCCUAGAUUCCAUCUCUAGUACCAA
rnacentral:tRNA from 1 species